AUGAUUCUGUGGGGUCUUCUCCUCUGCCUGCUAACAGCACCGCUGAGUGUCCUGUCCCAGGUGCAGCUGCAGGAGUCGGGCCAAGGACUGGUGGCCCCCUCCCAGACCCUCUCCCUCACCUGCUCUGUCUCUGGAUUCUCCAUCACAACCAGUCCUUACUGCUGGGCAUGGAUCCACCAGCCCCCAGGGAAGGGCCUGCUCUGGUUGGGGGAAAUAUGUUAUGAUGGAAGCGCCAACUACAGCCCGGCCUUCAAGAGCCGCGUCUCCAUCACCAGAGACACGAACAAUAACCAGUUCUCCCUGCAGCUGAGCUCAGUGACCCCCGAGGACACAGCUGUGUGUUACUGUGCGUGA